UACGGAGGGUGCAAGCGUUGCUCGGAAUUAUUGGGCGUAAAGGGUAGGUAGGUGGUCUCAUUUGUCUGGGGUGAAAGCCUUGAGCUUAACUCAAGAAGUGCCCCAGAAACGGUGAGACUGGAGUCCUGGAGAGGGUCGUGGAAUUCCCGGUGUAGCGGUGAAAUGCGUAGAGAUCGGGAGGAACACCAGAGGCGAAGGCGGCGACCUGGACAGGUACUGACACUCAACUACGAAAGCGUGGGGAGCAAAACAGG
rnacentral:rRNA from 1 species